rfam:Lasius niger Lnig_2.1_3627, whole genome shotgun sequence.
CAAUCGGCCCUUUUCAGGGCCAACAAUCUUUCUUCGAAAGAAUAUCU